GGCCAGACUCCUACGGGAGGCAGCAGUGGGGAAUAUUGCGCAAUGGGGGAAACCCUGACGCAGCAACGCCGCGUGAGUGAGGAAGUAUCUCGGUAUGUAAAGCUCUAUCAGCGGGGAAGAAAGAGGACGGUACCCGACUAAGAAGCCCCGGCUAACUACGUGCCAGCAGCCGCGGUAAUACGUAGGGGGCAAGCGUUAUCCGGAUUCACUGGGUGUAAAGGGAGCGUAGACGGCCAUGCAAGCCUGGAGUGAAAGCCCGGGGCCCAACCCCGGGACUGCUCUGGGAACUGUGCGGCUGGAGUGCGGGAGGGGCAGGCGGAAUUCCUGGUGUAGCGGUGAAAUGCGUAGAUAUCAGGAGGAACACCGGCGGCGAAGGCGGCCUGCUGGACCGCGACUGACGUUGAGGCUCGAAAGCGUGGGGAGCAAACAGGAUUAGAUACCCGUGUA
rnacentral:rRNA from 1 species